rnacentral:rRNA from 1 species
GACGAACGCUGGCGGCGUGCUUAACACAUGCAAGUCGAACGGGAACCUUUAUUUCGGUAAAGGUGAGAGUGGCAAACGGGUGAGUAACACGUAGGCAACCUGCCGACAGGAUGGGGACAACAUUCCGAAAGGAAUGCUAAUACCGAAUGGAGUCCGAGGAUGGCAUCAUCCUUGGAUAAAAGAUGGCCUCUGAAUAUGCUAUCGCCUGUCGAUGGGCCUGCGUCUGAUUAGCCAGUUGGCGGGGUAACGGCCCACCAAAGCGACGAUCAGUAGCCGGUCUGAGAGGAUGAACGGCCACAUUGGGACUGAGACACGGCCCAGACUCCUACGGGAGGCAGCAGUGGGGAAUCUUCCACAAUGGGCGAAAGCCUGAUGGAGCAACGCCGCGUGAGUGAAGAAGGUCUUCGGAUCGUAAAGCUCUGUUGCACGGGACGAAAACUG